rnacentral:rRNA from 1 species
AUUGAACGCUGGCGGCAUGCCUUACACAUGCAAGUCGAACGGCAGCACGGGAGCAAUCCUGGUGGCGAGUGGCGAACGGGUGAGUAAAGUAUCGGAACGUGCCCAGUCGUGGGGGAUAACGUAGCGAAAGGUACGCUAAUAACGCAUACGAUCUAUGGAUGAAAGGGGGGGAUCGCAAGACCUCGCGCGAUGGGAGCGGCCGAUAUCAGAUUAGGUAGUUGGUGGGGUAAAGGCUCACCAAGCCGACGAUCUGUAGCUGGUCUGCGAGGACGACCAGCCACACUGGGACUGAGACACGGCCCAGACUCCUACGGGAGGCAGCAGUGGGGAAUUUUGGACAAUGGGCGAAAGCCUGAUCCAGCCAUGCCGCGUGCAGGAUGAAGGCCUUCGGGUUGUAAACUGCUUUUGUACGGAACGAAAAGGUUUGGCCUAAUAAGCUGAGCUCAUGACGGUACCGUAAGAAUAAGCACCGGCUAACUACGUGCCAGCAGCCGCCGUAA